rnacentral:rRNA from 1 species
UACGAAGGGUCCAAGCGUUGUUCGGAAUUACUGGGCGUAAAGGGCGCGUAGGCGGCACUGCAAGUCAGGCGUGAAAUUCCUGGGCUCAACCUGGGGACUGCGCUUGAGACUGUGGAGCUAGAGGAUGGAAGAGGGUCGUGGAAUUCCCAGUGUAGAGGUGAAAUUCGUAGAUAUUGGGAAGAACACCGGUGGCGAAGGCGGCGACCUGGUCCAUUACUGACGCUGAGGCGCGACAGCGUGGGGAGCAAACAGG